GGACUGAGUCCUUGUCGGCGCCGGAGAGGAGAUUGUGGGAGAGAGAGGAAUCCACUUUUGCCGGCGAUGAAAUCUCUAAUACAGCGCAUCAGCAGAUUUCCCCGAGUUCAGGAGGUGGGGGAGAGCUCAACUCCGACGGAUCUGACGGCGUAAGGGGCACCGGGCUCAGUUCGUGGGUCGGAUCAGUGGAUCACACGCCUGGAGCAGCCAUCAGCGGGGAUGCACAGAUCCGCGAGGGAAGAAAUAGGCCGGGCGGCGAGACGGGAGGGCUCGCUCUAGAUCUCCAAACUGUCCACCGGCAAGAUGAAUCUGCAAGCACCUGACUGGACUUAGUGGACUAAGAGGUGCGUUGCUGAAAACAAAUAAUCCUGAAUUUGUUGCAGAGAAAUGUCGUAAUGAUUCAUCUGGGUUCGCUUAGGGGGAUAGUCUCCAUAAAUUAAGACAUGGAUGAUACUCAACUUAUAUAAUUUGUCAGACGUCCAUGAGUACAAGAAAUUCCCUGAUGCAUAAACUGCAGUGCAACGCUAUAUCGUGUUUUACAAGUGGGCCUAGUAUUCUUCAUCAAAACUUAUUGUAGAAACUGCAGUGGUUCUCCUCUUGUGCCGGAAUCAUCGCUAUGUCACUUAUGUCAUUUUUGAGAUAUUAUUGUUUACAUUGAUGAGAUCCUUCGAUCAGUGCAUCCAGCUAGCUUUAGGAAAAUAAAUCCAAUAAGAAUACGAGGAUUGGAACCACUGUUUCCGUUCGGAAUUGUUAAUCGAACCAAUGAUGAAGCAAUCGCAUUUUAUGUUUAUAGUACCAACGUGGAUUUUAAUCGAAGGCAUCUUAGAUUAGAACGUAAUAUUUUCAUAGGAUUUCUUGCAGAAGUUUUUCUACACAAUUUAGAGAUCUUACAAAUUGUCUUUUGUGUAUUGAAUGCGUACUCGCUCCCUUGAACAGUUGUAGAAGUCACAUCAUUGCAAAUUCAAAUGCACUUGAUUCUUGUGAAUUAAGAAAGUCAUGGUAUCUAUAUUUUAUACUUUCUAUUUUUGUCUUCAUGCAUUCUAGAAUUCAUCAUUCCAAAAUUUAUGUUUCAUCUGGAAAUUUACUGAUGAAUUAAAUGCCAUGACGUGGUUAUAUAGUCCUAUAUGUGCAAAGUAUGUAUUCUUAUACUAGUAGUUUAGAUAGAUGAGAUUCUGGGUUUUACGACUGCCAACCGGCUUAAAAUAAUUGUGCUUGUAUUAGGGCUUAUUUUUUAACGGAUGCUGUGUUGUGCUAUGUGCGCAAACCAUGUGGUUUGAUAGGUUAAUUUAACUAAAUUUUGUACUGUGCCAACAUUUGGAAAAAUUUCAAGGUGAGGAUUGGAGCAGCGGCACCAAACAGGACAUCUGGGCACCUUGCCCCUCCCACGUGUCUGCCUUCGAGAAAGGGCCGAUGGGUUUUGCGGACAUCCAUUUUGAAAAUGCUAUUGUACCGACGCUUGGGACAAGUUUCGACUUGCUGGGAGAGACAUAGGAUUUCUACAACCUCUAUUCCUGGGAGAAAGGAUCUGCAAAUAAGAUAUGGGAAGAGGAGGUUGAAUGUGGAGAGAAUGAAAUGUGUACAAAAUUUGUGUGUGGAUGUUCGAUAAGUCAGAUUAUAUAUAGAUCUUUUACUGUUCAAUGGUUAAUUUUUUAGUAGGCUUAUCUCAUCACAACAAGAUGACCACAUUUUCAGGGUUCGUGUUGAGACAGUUUGAACAUGAGGUCUUGUUGGUAUGAGUGCCCUUGCGCUGGUGUUUUAGUUGGUGUUGAGACAGUUUGAAAGCUUUAAGUGGGUGUUUUCUGGUUUAGACAUAUGAUGGGUGGCACGGUACCUAAGACUAAAGCACCAGGUAAUGCAUAGGUUGAUUGGUAAUGUUUUGAAUUGAUUUCUUAAUAGGUGGUGAUUUGCAGGAAGCGGUUGUUCUGGUCACGAGCGUAGGUGAGCGUGGUAUCUCGAUAUUUUCGUUGCAUUGAAUUCCUUUGCCAGCUAGUGUCUUGUUGUUUUAUCUUCUUUCUUUCAUCACCCAACUAAUUUUCUUCUGUGCUCAAGCAUUCCCUGUUUUCGGAGGCUAAACAUGCUGUAGCUUAGGCUAAUAUGUUGUAGAUUAUUUUGUGCUCAACUUAUGAUUACGCCGCUGAAAUCCCUUGAGAACAUGCUCUAACUAUCAUUUAUCAUUCAUGCUUGUUAAUUCAGAUUUUCACUAUUAAUCGUAGCUCUUGAUUAUGUAGAUGUAAGCUCACAUUGUUUAAUCUCCCCUCGUUCGUUGAGUUCUGUUAUAUGUUUAAAUUGCAGGAAACAUGUUGGAAGGUCACAAGAAUAAAAGCAAUGAACCACUUCUCACCUGAUGUGUUUAGUCUUUCGUUUUGGUAUUUUGGAAUUUCUUGGAAUCAGGCUCUCCUCAGCUCAUGAUUUCAGGAUUUCAUUUUGUGAUUUUAUGAUUAUCGGAGUUCUUAAUUACUACUAGCUCAUAAGUUCAAUUCGGAAAUACGGUUGGCAUGAACAUAGAUUGAUGUUAAAUUUCAGAGAUGCACUGCCAGUUCAGCUUUUCGUGAUUGCGGAACUGGUCGAAAUAGUUGUAUUUAGCUCAUAGUUUUUCUACACAGAAAUGACCAUGUUUAUGACGAAGAAUGGUUGAUUCAA